rnacentral:rRNA from 1 species
GACGAACGCUGGCGGCGUGCCUAAUACAUGCAAGUAGAACGCAGUUGCGAACGGGUGAGUAACGCGUAGGUAACUGCCUCAUAGCGGGGGAUAACUAUUGGAAACGUAAGCUAAUACCGCAUACUGUGCUAUGGACCUGCGUUGUAUUAGCUAUUUGGUGAGGUAAAGGCUCACCAAGGCGACGAUACAUAGCCGACCUGAGAGGGAGGUCGGCCACACUGGGACCUAGGCACGGGCCAGACUCCGACGGUAGGCAGCAGUGGGGGAUCUGCGGCAAUGGACGGAAGUCUGAACGAGAAACUCCGGGGGAGUGGAGAAGGUUUUCGGGUCGUAAAGCUGUGUUGUUAGGGAAGCGGUAACUAAACAGAAAGGGACGGCUAACUACGUGCCAGCAGCCGCGGUAAUUC